rnacentral:rRNA from 1 species
ACGGGUGAGUAACACGUGGGAACGUGCCCUUUGGUUCGGAACAACUCAGGGAAACUUGAGCUAAUACCGGAUGUGCCCUUCGGGGGAAAGAUUUAUCGCCAUUGGAGCGGCCCGCGUAGGAUUAGCUAGUUGGUGGGGUAAAGGCCCACCAAGGCGACGAUCCUUAGCUGGUCUGAGAGGAUGAUCAGCCACAUUGGGACUGAGACACGGCCCAAACUCCUACGGGAGGCAGCAGUGGGGAAUCUUGCGCAAUGGGCGAAAGCCUGACGCAGCCAUGCCGCGUGAAUGAUGAAGGUCUUAGGAUUGUAAAAUUCUUUCACCGGGGACGAUAAUGACGGUACCCGGAGAAGAAGCCCCGGCUAACUUCGUGCCAGCAGCCGCGGUAAUACGAAGGGGGCUAGCGUUGCUCGGAAUUACUGGGCGUAAAGGGAGCGUAGGCGGAUAGUUUAGUCAGAGGUGAAAGCCCAGGGCUCAACCUUGGAAUUGCCUUUGAUACUGGCUAUCUUGAGUACGGAAGAGGUAUGUGGAACUCCGAGUGUAGAGGUGAAAUUCGUAGA